rnacentral:misc_RNA from 1 species
AACGCAUAUGGCGCCUCGCGGAGCAAUCCGGGAGGCAUGCCUGCUUGAGAAUCAUCUACGUCAUUUAUUUGUUUGGGCCUUCACCAGUGAUCGUCCGGAAUGCGCGCGCCGUCCGGCUGUGUCAUGGAGCAGCAGCGAUCCACGGCAGCCGGCCAAGAAGCACCGUUUUGUGAUCUCAAGUCAGGCAAGAGUACCCGCUGAACUUAA